CUGUGACCUUGAAUGUAAAAAUGUUAAAGUUCUUAUUUCAUGUUAUAACUUUGGUAUGCUUGUACCUAGAGUCUUCAAACUUGAAAUAAAGAUUGGCCAGUACUAGAAGAUGACCACUGGUCAUUUCAAUGUCAUUCAUUUGAAGGUCAAGGUCACUGUGACCUUAAAUGUUAAAAUGUUAAAAUUGUUAUAACUUUGGUAUGCUUGGACAUAGAGUCUUCAAACUUGACAUGAAGGUUUGCAAGCACACUUAGAUGACCACUGGUCAUUUCAAGGUCAUUCAUUCUAAGGUCAAGGUCACUGUGACCUUGAAUGUAAAAAUGUUAAAGUUCUUAUAACUUUGGUAGGUAAAAAUGUUAAAGUUCUUAUUCCAUGUUAUAACUUUGGUAUGCUUGUACCUAGAGUCUUCAAACUUGACAUAAAGGUUGGCCAGUACUAGAAGAUCACCACUGCUCAUUUCAAUGUCAUUCAUUUGAAGGUCAAGGUCACUGUGACCUUCAAUGUUAAAAUACUAUCAUUCAAGCUUGGAUCAUAUUUAUGUGUCCAAUCUAUCUGCUAGAACUGGUGUGAUAGAAACCUUUUGGAGUGAUCAUAAGGCUGUCUGGAUUUCUGUGUAGGUAUGUGAAAGCAAAACAAUAAAUAGUAUUAUUUCAUCUAAGUUUAUUUUCUUACAUUUGAUAAUGAAAUUGAUGGAAACUUCAAACAAUAUCUUACUAAUUUGCUAAUAAAAAAAUUGAGAUCAAACUUU